UACGGGGGGGGCAAGCGUUGUUCGGAAUUACUGGGCGUAAAGGGCUCGUAGGUGGCCAACUAAGUCAGACGUGAAAUCCCUCAGCUUAACUGGGGAACUGCGUCUGAUACUGGUGGGCUUGAGUGCAGGAGAGGAACGCGGAAUUCCAGGUGUAGCGGUGAAAUGCGUAGAUAUCGCUUGGAACGCCAACGGUGAAAACAGGUUGCUGGGGGUGUGCUGACGCUGAGACACGAAAGCCAGGGGAGCGAACGGG
rnacentral:rRNA from 1 species